rnacentral:misc_RNA from 1 species
GUGAAUCAUCGAAUUUUUGAACGCAAAUUGCACUCUCUUCUGAUAGUAGGCCUGUUUUAGUUUCAGUAUUAAUAAAAAUCUGCUUUUUUCUCUUUUGUGACGUUCCUGAGUUUGUUUCAUCUGAUAACAACACCCUUUCAAGUUAUUUUUAAGAGUCUUAAAAUUGACCUUUUGUAUGCAUUUUAGUCUUACAUAAAUUUUUUUUUAUUCGUCUAUCUUAAUUCCACAUCUCUAUUAGAUGCUACCGUAUCGUUUGGUUCCGUGCUUAU